rnacentral:rRNA from 1 species
UACGGAGGGUGCAAGCGUUAUCCGGAUUUACUGGGUUUAAAGGGUGCGUAGGUGGGUAGGAAAGUCAGUGGUGAAAUCUUCGGGCUUAACCCGGAAACUGCCAUUGAUACUAUUUAUCUUGAAUACUUUGGAGGUAAGCGGAAUAUGUCAUGUAGCGGUGAAAUGCUUAGAUAUGACAUAGAACACCAAUUGCGAAGGCAGCUUACUACGCAGUUAUUGACACUGAGGCACGAAAGCGUGGGGAUCAAACAGG